rnacentral:rRNA from 1 species
UACGUAGGGUGCAAGCGUUAAUCGGAAUUACUGGGCGUAAAGCGUGCGCAGGCGGUUUUGUAAGUCUGAUGUGAAAUCCCCGGGCUCAACCUGGGAAUUGCAUUGGAGACUGCAAGGCUAGAAUCUGGCAGAGGGGGGUAGAAUUCCACGUGUAGCAGUGAAAUGCGUAGGGAUGUGGAGGAACACCGAUGGCGAAGGCAGCCCCCUGGGUCAAGAUUGACGCUCAUGCACGAAAGCGUGGGGAGCAAACAGG